CUGGGAAGUAGCUCAAUGGUAGAGCAUAUGACCAGCAUGUGCAAGGCCCUGAGUUUAUCCCCAGCA
ensembl:miRNA Mir1957a microRNA 1957a